rnacentral:rRNA from 1 species
GUUGACUCGGAUCAGGUAGGAAUACCCGCUGAACUUAAG